GAAGGACGGGGAGGAAUCCGGAGCCCAACAUCCAGGCGGACACCGCACAUCCCGAUACAUGAAAACGUCAACAGAGAGAAGAUCCUAGAGCUCACCAACAAGAUCAUUGAGCUGCUGACUGGAGAGGUGACAUCGCUGGGAAUGCCGGGACAUUAUACAGUAACGCUAUGAAGGGAUAUGGGUGAUGACUGUAUCAUUGUGUUGUCAGGUUCCUAUAAGGUGUCAAGAUGUCGCUGUCUAUUUCUCCAUGGAGGAGUCUGAGUAUUUAGAAGGACACAAAGAUCUGUACAAGAACGUUAUGAUGGAGGAUCACCAGCCACCAAUUAAAGAAGAGAGAACAACUCCCAGUCCUCUUCGUCUACAGGAUGGUUCAGAAGAACAUCAAAGCAUUUCAUAUGAUGAUCAGAUAGAUGGAAAUAAGUUUUUAAAUCUGGGUAAAGAUCUGA